CUAAUGCAUGCAAGUCGAGCGACGCAUAUUGGGGCUUGCCCCGAUAUGACGGAGCGGCGAACGGGUGAGUAACACGUGAGCAACCUGCCCCGAAGACCGGGAUAGCCCGAGGAAACUCGGAUUAAUACCGGAUUCCUUCACACCACCGCAUGGCGGAGUGAAGAAAAGCUUUUGCGCUUUGGGAUUGGCUCGCGGCCUAUCAGCUAGUUGGUGAGGUAACGGCUCACCAAGGCAUCGACGGGUAGCUGGUCUGAGAGGACGAUCAGCCACACUGGAACUGAGACACGGUCCAGACUCCUACGGGAGGCAGCAGCAGGGAAUAUUGCACAAUGGGCGAAAGCCUGAUGCAGCAACGCCGCGUGAGGGAUGACGGCCUUCGGGUUGUAAAGCUCUUUCGCCAGGGAUGAUAAUGACAGUACCUGGCAAAGAAACCCCGGCUAACUCCGUGCCAGCAGCCGCGGUAAUACGGAGGGGGUUAGCGUUGUUCGGAAUUACUGGGCGUAAAGCGCGCGUAGGCGGAUCAGAAAGUUGGGGGUGAAAUCCCAGGGCUCAACCCUGGAACUGCCUUCAAAACUACUGGUCUAGAGUUCGAGAGAGGUGAGUGGAAUUGUGAGUGUAGAGGUGAAAUUCGUAGAUAUUCACAGGAACACCAGUGGCGAAGGCGGCUCACUGGCUCGAUACUGACGCUGAGGUGCG
rnacentral:rRNA from 1 species